AGACAUGGCCGACGCGGCUUAAACUGUAGUAUCUGUUCUUAUGAGCUUAAUAUCUGAUACGGGUUGUAUUUGGACCUAAGAUAUUAAACUUAUUUUUGCAAGUUGGCGGAGUACUUGACGCCUGCUUCAUCUCCACCGCCGGUCGACCCGGUAUUUUUGGUCUACGCGUACAUCGAUCCGCU
rnacentral:snRNA from 1 species